CUUUUCUCUCGUUUUGUUUUCUUGAAAGGCAUAUAUUAAAAAUCACACUGUUUCCACCACAACCUUAGACGUCAAUAGAUCACACUUAGCUUGAAAAGUAUG